AGAUCUUCAGAUAAUAGAAUAGUAAGAAUGAAGUGAAUAACAGUAAGAAAGAGACGUCACUAGGAGAAGUGAAGUGCCAUGCCAACAGCAGCUCAAGCCAAUGGAGACUUAUGCCGCACCUAUUGACGCUACAACUGAGACCUCAUGACCGGAACAUCUGAGGACCACAGACGCUGGAUGUCAGGUUCCUGCCUAUUUGAGUGGAGAGUCUAGAGUUCCUUUUACCUUUGAAGAAUUAUCACUAAUAGAUGCUUACUCAUCUCUUUCAUCGGCAGGACAAAUUGAAAUGUUGAAUAGACUGGAGAACUUAAAACUUCAUCUGGAAAGACUGCGAGUACAAGAGAAAUCUCCCCCUGUUCCCGCCUUGGUGGAUUCUAUGCUAAAUCCAAGGCUAUUUACAAAGAAGCCGUGUUCUCGGGGAAGGGUGAUAAAUGGCUUGGAUCUCCCACCUCCCUUGUUUAAUAGUGCCGGGAAUCAGUGUGUGGGCGGAUCAAUACCAGUUAUUAGUGUGCAAAGAAGGGGGAUGGAAGAUUCCCCCAUUAGCACAAAUGAGAAUUCUUCUUCCGAUCUUUUGGAUGCUUAUAAUUUAGCCAGAUAUGCGAAACCAACAUCGCCUGAUCUUUGGACUAGGAUGAGGUUUUUGGAACCUGAGGAGCUGGGGCUUCCCGAUAACCUUCUUGGGAACAGAGGUUUACAAAGCCCUCCAUCCCAGCUCCCUCUGGAACCACUUUGUGUUCCGGCUAAGUCCCAAAGUCAGCCCAGUAAGACAGUAGUAAAGGGGGAAAGCCUGCAGACCCUAAUAUCACCUCCCAUUCUUAAGUGCUGUAUCAGUACCUCUAUGGACUGUGAUUUAAUGUGUAUAGACUGACAAUUGUCAGCUCUACCCUGGAACAUCAUGGGCUGGGAGAGUAAGUUAUAUGAUGAGGAUUUUGUUCACUAUCUCUGUAAGUUUAAGAUCAUUUGUCUCCAGGAAACCUGGGUUGUAAAUCCGGCUAAAAUGUAUUUGCAUGGUUAUUGUGCUUUCUCCACCCCAGUGGUAAAACAAUCAUUAAAAGGUCGUGGUAGUGGAA